AUGUGGAUUAAUUCGAUGCAACGCGAAGAACCUUACCUGGGUUUGACAUGCACCAGACGCUGCCAGAGAUGGUAGUUCCCUUGUGGUUGGUGUGCAGGUGGUGCAUGGCUGUCGUCAGCUCGUGUCGUGAGAUGUUGGGUUAAGUCCCGCAACGAGCGCAACCCUCGUUCCAUGUUGCCAGCGCGUGAUGGCGGGGACUCAUGGGAGACUGCCGGGGUCAACUCGGAGGAAGGUGGGGAUGACGUCAAGUCAUCAUGCCCCUUAUGUCCAGGGCUUCACACAUGCUACAAUGGCCAGUACAGAGGGCUGCGAGACCGUGAGGUGGAGCGAAUCCCUUAAAGCUGGUCUCAGUUCGGAUCGGGGUCUGCAACUCGACCCCGUGAAGUUGGAGUCGCUAGUAAUCGCAGAUCAGCAACGCUGCGGUGAAUACGUUCC
rnacentral:rRNA from 1 species